CCCGACCAGGUCUCAGCCACCGCCACACCCGCACGACCAGCCUGCGGUUCUGUGGGAGGCACUCGGGGGCGGCCGACCUUCAGUUGGCUCAGCGCUAAAGUGGGAGCAAAAGCCCAGCCUCGUCGCAGGGUCCCCGAGGGUCCCCGAGCGGCCGGCGCGCAGAGUAAGCCCCCUACACGGAGGCUGAGCUCUCCACGUUAGCCACGAGAAACUUCCCUGCAGUCCUGCUCACAGUUGCCCAGCGCGUGCCUCAGAAGCAAACGCACGCGUGAGGCCCGGUGCUUCCGACCGAGAACCGCGGGCCCUCGGCGGCCCCAGGCCCCAGGGGUCAGGCUUGGACCUGCGCGGAGGACCCGGCCUCCCCGGCGCCCCGCGGCCCUCUCCGCGUGACCUGCAGCGCCACCUAGUGGAGGCCGCUCCCUGCAAGGAGCCUGCUUCUCCCUCAGCCCCCGGCCGCCUCAGCCUCUGACUUCAACCCUCCCCACAGGCACUUGGUACCAGACCUAAGAGCGCGCCGGCCCGGGAAGAUCGCCCAAGACUGCGGAGAGCGAGAAGGCACCAGUCUCAGGUCUUCGAUCAGGAAACGUGGCCAAGUCAGGCCAACCUGAGGAGGGUCCCAAGAUGGGUGAAGGCGGGCCCCAGGAAUGUCCAAAUUCCUACUUACCGGUUGUGACGCAGUGACGGGAACUAUUGAGCUCUUGUCAUAAACGAGAAUUCUGGCUUCACGGAGUCUGAGGUAUUUUACUGGACCAUCCCUAACCUUUGCGCCUUUUGCCCGUUCCCCUAAUAAAGGGCCACAGCUGCCCAAGAUUAAGAGAGCAGGAGCACAAGGAGAAAUGAGGAAGCGGGCAGGCGCUCCCAGAGAGAAGAGGGCUGUUCCAAGUGCCAGGAGAUAGGAGUCCACCGUAUUUCCUUUGAAGAAAAAUGCUGACCAUCUCUACCUCUAUAAACUACUUCUAAGUCA